UGUAAAAGAAAAACCGCUGCCCGCACGACCCACGACCACGACCUCGACCUCUCGCCCGCCAUCCAUCUCCCAGCCACCCGAGUGCCGCCCCUCCCGGUCACAACCGCUCGCCCGUCCGCCGCCGCCCCCGUCCGCCCGCUGGCUGCCGCUGCCGCCCGUCCGCCGUCGCCCCCGUCCGCCCCCUGGCUACCGCUGCCACCCCUCCCUGCCUCGCCGGCUCUCCGCUGCCCGAGUGAAAGAACUGGACGGCUCGUGCGGAGAAAAAGAGAGGGAAGCAGGGAGAGAGAGGGAGAGGGAGCAGAGAACAGAGCACAAAGAUGAUAGAUUCGGGUUGCCGCUGGAAGUUGCUGCUGUGUAUUGUGAGCGCGUGCUCGCUGGUGAAGCUGCUGCUGCUUGUGAGUACUCAAUGGCGGAGCUGUCACUGCUGUGUGAGGCGCAUUUAUGCACCUUCUCACAUUUGAAUGGUGACAAUUUGUACUAGGAUGGGAGGUAUUGGAUCUGAGUAUGUGAAGGAGGAGCAAGAUGGAAUUGACAAGGCAAGAAUUGUUUUCCUUUUAAUUCGGAUUCGUGUUGCCUGACUGAUGAAGAGUGAACUUUGUAUGAGACUGACGAAAGGGUUGUUUCCGCGCC